AUUGAACGCUGGCGGCAGGCCUAACACAUGCAAGUCGAGCGAGCGGCGGACGGGUGAGUAAUGUAUGGGGAUCUGCCCGAUAGAGGGGGAUAACUACUGGAAACGGUGGCUAAUACCGCAUACUAUCGGAUGAACCCAUAUGGGAUUAGCUAGUAGGUGGGGUAAAGGCUCACCAAGGCAACGAUCCGUAGCUGGUUUGAGAGGACGACCAGCAACACUGGGACUGAGACACGGCCCAGACUCCUACGGGAGGCAGCAGUGGGGAAUAUUGGACAAUGGGGGAAACCCUGAUCCAGCCAUGCCGCGUGUAUGAUGAAGGCCUUCGGGUUGUAAAGUACUUUUGGCAGAGAAGCGUUAUCUGCAGAAGAAGCACCGGCUAACUCCGUGCCAGCAGCCGCGGUAAUUC
rnacentral:rRNA from 1 species